rnacentral:rRNA from 1 species
GACGAACGCUGGCGGCGUGCCUAAUACAUGCAAGUAGAACGCACAGUUUAUACCGUAGCUUGCUACACCAUAGACUGUGAGUUGCGAACGGGUGAGUAACGCGUAGGUAACCUGACUGGUAGCGGGGGGUAACUAUUGGAAACGAUAGCUAAUACCGCAUAAUAUUAAUUAUUGCAUGAUAAUUAAUUGAAAGGUGCAAUUGCACCACUACCAGAUGGACCGGCGUGGUAUUAGCUAGUAGGUGAGGUAACGGCUCACCUAGGCGACGAUACAUAGCCGACCUGGGAGGGUGGUCGGCCACCCUGGGACUGAGACACGGCCCAGACUCCUACGGGAGGCAGCAGUAGGGAAUCUUCGGCAAUUGACGAAAGUCUGACCGAGCAACGCCGCGUUAGUGAAGAAGGUUUUCGGAUCGUAUAGCUCUGUUGUAAGAGAAGAACGGGUGUGAGAGUGGAAAGUUCACACUGUGACGGUAUCUUACCAGAAAGGGACGGCUAACUACGUG